rnacentral:rRNA from 1 species
GACUCUACGAGCUACGAGGAUAGCACGGUCGGAACGAGAGCUUUAAAGCAAUUGACGGAACGGCACCACUAGAGGGUGGGGCCCGACAAAGUCUAAGGAAACUGACUAUAAACACAGGAAAAGUC